AAUAUAUAGAUCCAGCAAGCAACACAUGCGUACAUAUGCAACAAGAGUUCGCAAAAGAAAGGACCAUAAGUUCCAAGUCCAUACAUGCGUAUAUGUCUAACGAAGGUUCACAACAACAUGCAUACAUAUCCAACAAGGUUCACAACAACAUGCGUGCAUAUCCAACAAGGCUCACAAACAAAAGCAUGAGUUCCAAGUUCACACCAAGCAUGAACCUCAAAGAUGCAAUGAGCUCCACCGUAGCAUGUAUGCCCACCAUCAAUGGCAUCCACAAUGCAAACCUAUAAGUCCAUUAC
rnacentral:lncRNA from 1 species